UACACGUCCUAUCGUGUCUGGCGUCCUCCUACAUAUGCUCGCGCCUAGCGUACUCGCCUACCACGUGAUCAGGCUUGCCCCAUCCACCCAAGCUGGAUGCAAUUCAAAAUUCGACGCAGUUGCAGGUGUAUCGACCGGCGGAACCACGUCCUCCCCAUCGCCGCGCCUGGAUCUCAAGAUUUCUUCAUGAUUCACCAAUGAAUCUCGGUGGGGAGUCAUUCACGGAUCUCCUGUUCAGAUCUGGCAUUGCUAGAGGAAGGGGAGAAGGACGACGAGUGUGGGGGUCGAGGGACAUAUGGCGUUACCGGUUCUCCUUCCUCAAGUUCUGCAUCUCAAGUUCAUGUCCCAGAUAUUGACAACACCGACAGUCACAGAGAACCCCCAUCUGAAUAGCAGCGCACUCCAACUCCGUGGCGUCAAAGGCUCAGAAAUGGACAUUCGCUCCUUGGCCCUUUAUAUUGAAUCCCAUCAAUGUCGGCGAUUCCAGUGCACUUUGCCCCAUGUCAGAGAACAAUCAAGGCAUUGUCGUCACCGCCAAGAUCUCUUCCGCCGCUAGGAUGACUUCAAGUGUGCGACGACACGGGCCUUCACCAGGCUACAUAAGCAGUAGCUGCAACCCAGCUAAAAUCAAGAAUUGAUGCUCAAAAAAAAAAAGCUAAAAUCAAGAAUUAAUUAAGACCUUCGUAUUUUUGUACUGAUCCGUGAGUUGAGUUGGCAAAUAAGAAAAUUAAGUUCUCUCCCCGUUUGCUCUUCUGUCAGCUUUGUGGGCGAUUGUUCUACUAUUAUUCUCCUAAG